AUGACAUGGGUUUACUCCUGGCACGGCUCCUGGGGCAGACCCGACAGUGGCCACGAGCUGGGAGCCCCAGGAGCGCGGAGCUCACGCCAGAAGGAGCAGGGUGUGGCCAGAACCAAGCAGGUACCCGGCAGGAUGGGCAUUGCCAGGAGCGGGCAUCCGAGGGGGGUGAGGGUGGGGACAGGGGCACUCCGAAUGAGACCCCUGCCUGUCAAGUGGUACGUGCACGGCGGCAAGGCCAGCCAGCUGGCCAGGGUGUGGAGUGGCCGGGAGAGGCCAGGCUGUGUCACCUGUUCCUCAGACCCAGACACCUCAGCACGCUGUCAUGAGGUCCUCAUUACAGGGGACCUGAGGACCCUGCAGCUGCCACCACGAGCGGCUCACUUCACAAGUGCCAGCCUGGCCCCACCUGCAAGCUGGGUUCUCCGCUUCCACGCUGGUUACCAAGGCUCGGCCACCUCUCAACCAGCCACCGCCCCAAGGGCAGCCUGUAGUCGGACCGAAUCCAAGAAAGCCUCCGAGUGACCAUGUCACACCUCCGAGUCCCAGCAGAAAAAGUGGUGUAAGUAAUUCUAAUAGAAACAGAGGGACGCCUCCCCCCAAACAGAAAAGGCCAGCCUUUUUGUUACAUCCCAUCGACGGCAGCAGCUUCGGCCCGGCCAACGCAGACCCCGGGAACCCGCAUGCAGAAGGGACCCAGUGUGACGGGAGGCUUUCGUUUAACUUGGCCCUGAGGGACCAGAAUGGAAGGGGGGCCCAGAGUGGGGGGGGGGACGUGUCACAGAGAAGGGCGCUCCCGUCCGUCCACACCCCACGGACCUGGGUCUCGAGGGAGCCCUCCCCGCAGACCAGACCUCCCCGUCUCUAGAAGGCGCUCAGCGUGACAAGCACUGUCACGGCACCGUGCGCCCUGGGCAGGAAGGAACAGCGCGGGGCGUCCGCGUGAUGAACUGGCUCGUCCUUCAGGCUUGUAGCCCGUCUGCCUCGUUCCUCGGUUGAGGUUUUACGCGUAUGUGUUUUGAGAAGGAAGUGUGGGAUGUACGUGUCACCGGAAGCUUGAUGUACACAGAACCCGUCCUGCGCGGUGAGGCCACCCACAGUCCCCGUGUGAAGGGGCCUGUGUGGAGGUGCACGUCCCCCCGGCUCAGUGAGGACGAGGCCAGUCUAGCUGUUUAAUCCCCUUGUGACUGAAGCGCACGUGAUCCAGACAGAGUGGUCGCCACUGAGCGAGGCCUGUCUGGGGGGCAUUGGGGGCCAGGACGGGGACGGAAGCUCAGCCCCCCUGACCGUCCACCUGUAGGAGGUUCCUCUCCUGCUCGGGGCCUGGACUGUGCUCACGAGAGCCCCCCGUCUGCCGGCCGCUCAGGGAGGAGCAGGAGACGGAGGUCAGGCCUGAGGACAAAGGAAGGGGACUGAGCACCCCCUGCGGCAGCUGCAGUCGCUCGGCCCUGUCCCAUCGCAGCUGGGGGACCGCUGCCCCCCGUCCUUCCCAAGGGACGAGGGUGCACAAUGGCCUGAUGCCUUCACAGGUAGAUGGGGAGCCCCUCCCACACAGUGGGCUGUGGGGACCGGUGGACACGCUCAGAAGAGCUGCUUUCUCCACACCGGGCCCCCAGGCUCGCUCCUCUCCAUCCAGGAGAACUUUGCCCCCUGCCCCCACUGCACCCCCCAAUUUAAGACGAGGGUAGGAGGGGCGUCCCACGUGGCGGGGCUCCCCAGGGGUGUCCCUGUCCCCGUCCCCGAUGUCAGGCUGGGACAGGCAGGCAGACCCAGCCUCACCUGCAAACCACGCGAGACAGAGGCCGUCCAGCAGGGCCCGUCCCUCACCCCCGACUCGACCACUCUUCCUCGGGACACAAGGGCUGGCAGAGGGACGGUCCGUCCCAACGGGGGCGGGGGGGGGGGAGGGGGGGGCAGCGCCGCCCUGGAGCCCGCGGCUCUGCAGAUCCUCUCGCCCACGUGGCAGGUGAGUGCGGGCCUAUGGGUGCAGGAACGGCCUGGACGUGGGCCUCCCAACUGGUUGUCUACUGGUCACAGGCCAGUGAGAGGCCGUCACCCCAACCGCAAGGCGAACAGCACAGGUAAGCAUCCUUAGACGCAUCGGUACCCAGAGGGAGGCCGCGCGACGUGGAGGCUGCACUGCGGCCGGAAGCUGGCAGAGGGCGGGGAGGCUGAGGGUCACUGACCCCAGUGACAGAGGCCGGGCUGGGCCAGGCUCCACCCAGAAAGUGCUGAGGAUACGCUGGGCCCCCGUGCAUCCUUGGUGGCCUCACACGGGAGCCGGUGUCUGCCGUCUGGAGGGUCUGGGUCCUCUGCGCCGCCGCCC
rnacentral:lncRNA from 1 species